CCCUUAGAGUUUGAUCCUGGCUCAGGACGAACGCUGGCGGCGUGCUUAACACAUGCAAGUCGAACGAGAAUCUAAUGAUGGAGUUUUCGGACAACUGAUUUAGAGGACAGUGGCGGACUGGUGAGUAACGCGUGAGGAACCUGCCUUUCAGAGGGGGACAACAGUUGGAAACGACUGCUAAUACCGCAUGACGCAUUUUGAUCGCAUGGUCGGAAUGCCAAAGAUUUAUCGCUGAAAGAUGGCCUCGCGUCUGAUUAGAUAGUUGGCGGGGUAACGGCCCACCAAGUCGACGAUCAGUAGCCGGACUGAGAGGUUGACCGGCCACAUUGGGACUGAGAUACGGCCCAGACUCCUACGGGAGGCAGCAGUGGGGAAUAUUGGGCAAUGGGCGCAAGCCUGACCCAGCAACGCCGCGUGAAGGAAGAAGGCUUUCGGGUUGUAAACUUCUUUUAAGUGGGAA
rnacentral:rRNA from 1 species